GUGCCAGCAGCCGCGGUAAUACGAAGGGGGCUAGCGUUACUCGGAAUUACUGGGCGUAAAGGGCGCGUAGGCGGCUCGGUCAGUCAGGCGUGAAAUUCCUGGGCUUAACCUGGGGACUGCGCUUGAUACUGUCGAGCUUGAGGCCGAGAGAGGGUGGUGGAAUUCCCAGUGUAGAGGUGAAAUUCGUAGAUAUUGGGAAGAACACCGGUGGCGAAGGCGACCACCUGGCUCGGUACUGACGCUGAGGCGCGACAGCGUGGGGAGCAAACAGGAUUAGAAACCCCGGUAGUCC
rnacentral:rRNA from 1 species